AAGAAACCGGAAGCGCGGGAAGCGUGAAGUGACCGGAAUGGAGCAGAAUAAAACCGGAACAGCCUCGUUUUGUUGUCGGAGCGGCGGAAGGGAAGGUUUCUCCUCCUCAGGACGCCCUGCAGACGAGCUACGGUCCCGGUUCGGUUCUUGGAGAAGUCCGGUGCGGUGGAGACGUGGAGGUUGGAGGCGACGCAGGCGGCUGGGGGGGAUGGAGCCGAGUCUGUAUGUCCGGUAACGGCAGUUCCUAGGACUUAAGGACGGAGGAGAAGAAACCCGAGACUGAUUUGGAGUCACAUUGGUCCCGUUUGGUGAACUUUGAGUUUGGUGGCUGGAGGACAACUGUUGGGUAAACCUGAGUCUGGACCCGUGAGCGCACAUGUAGAGCUUGUGUUUUUAUCAAGCAGCCCACCACCAACCAAAGAGCCCAGUCUGUGUUCUUUCUGUCACACGUUGGAAAUGAAUCGGAGAUGCCAGCCUCCCUCCCACAUCUCCCGCUGCCCACUCUGCUCUCCAGUCGCAGUUUAUUUAUCGAACAAACUGGCAUCUAAAUUGACUUUGAAAGGCUUCAGUGGCUUGACACCUCGAGCACCGUCCACCCAGUGCCGGGAUCUUCAGCAUCAAAGGUCCCCGCCGCUGCAGCAAGUUGGAGGACCGACAGGAAAACUCCUGGCCGGAUGCAUUUCUGGCUGCUGAUGCCUGCGGGAGAACAGCUGGGGAGAAACAAGGUGCUACACAACCCAACGUACACGCAACGCUGCUGAAGUCCGGUGAUUCUGCAGCCUCACAUCGUGCCCUCUGGGUGCACAUGCCACUUCCCAUCUGUCUUGUGCGCUUUGUCGAACAAGCUCCCGGAGCCAUUGUGUUUUCAGUCCAGGCUGUGAGAAUGGAUACUACAUCUUAUAGAACCACAUUAAAGUUUAAUGCUG
ensembl:lncRNA